rnacentral:rRNA from 1 species
CAGCAGGCGCGAAAACUUUACAAUGCGGGAAACCGUGAUAAGGGGACACCGAGUGCCAGCAUCAUAUGCUGGCUGUCCGGGUGUGUAAAAUACACCCGUUAGCAAGGGCCGGGCAAGACCGGUGCCAGCCGCCGCGGUAACACCGGCGGCCCGAGUGGUGAUCGUGAUUAUUGGGUCUAAAGGGUCCGUAGCCGGUUUGGUCAGUCCUCCGGGAAAUCUGACGGCUCAACCGUUAGGCUUUCGGGGGAUACUGCCAGGCUUGGAACCGGGAGAGGUAAGAGGUACUACAGGGGUAGGAGUGAAAUCUUGUAAUCCCUGUGAGACCACCUGUGGCGAAGGCGUCUUACCAGAACGGGUUCGACGGUGAGGGACGAAAGCUGGGGGCACGAACCGGAUUAGAUACCCGGGUAGUCCCAGCCGUAAACGAUGCUCGCUAGGUGUCAGGCAUGGCGCGACCGUGUCUGGUGCCGCAGGGAAGCCGUGAAGCGAGCCACCUGGGAAGUACGGCCGCAAGGCUGAAACUUAAAGGAAUUGGCGGGGGAGCACAA